UACGUAGGGUGCAAGCGUUAAUCGGAAUUACUGGGCGUAAAGCGUGCGCAGGCGGUUUUGUAAGUUUGUCGUGAAAUCCCCGGGCUCAACCUGGGAAUGGCGAUGAAGACUGCAAGGCUAGAAUCUGGCAGAGGGGGGUAGAAUUCCACGUGUAGCAGUGAAAUGCGUAGAGAUGUGGAGGAACACCGAUGGCGAAGGCAGCCCCCUGGGCUAACACUGACGCUCAGGCACGAAAGCGUGGGGAGCAAACAGG
rnacentral:rRNA from 1 species